GAUGAACGCUAGCUACAGGCUUAACACAUGCAAGUCGAGGGGCAGCAUGAACAAAGCUUGCUUCGUUUGAUGGCGACCGGCGCACGGGUGCGUAACACGUAUCCAAUCUGCCCGCGGCUCGGGGAUAGCCCAUUGAAAGAUGGAUUAAUACCCGAUGGCGUGGUCGCCCCGCAUGGGGUCUCCACUAAAGGUUUUCCGGCUGCGGACGAGGAUGCGUAUGAUUAGGUAGUAGGCGGGGUAACGGCCCACCUAGCCUUUGAUCAUUAGGGGUUCUGAGAGGAAGGUCCCCCACACUGGAACUGAGACACUGUCCAGACUCCUACGGGAGGCAGCAGUGAGGAAUAUUGGUCAAUGGGCGAGAGCCUGAACCAGCCAAGUAGCGUGAAGGAAGACUGCCCUAUGGGUUGUAAACUUCUUUUGUUCGGGAAUAAAGUGCAGUAUGUAUACUGUUUUGUAUGUACCGUUCGAAUAAGCAUCGGCUAAUUCCGUGCCAGCCGCCGCGGUAAUAC
rnacentral:rRNA from 1 species